rnacentral:rRNA from 1 species
GCGAUCAUACCAGCACUAAUGCACCGGAUCCCAUCAGAACUCCGAAGUUAAGCGUGCUUGGGCGAGAGCAGUACUAGGAUGGGUGACCCCCUGGGAAGUCCUCGUGUUGCACCU